GUCACGUAUCCUUUGUCUCUAAUGGGCAAAAACUGAGAUAAUUACCUCCCAAAGAUCGAGGGGAGUGCAGUUCACCGCAUUCUGCCAUGAUGCCUGGCUUUUGCGGCAUGUGGACCCAUGCAAUUAUAUAGCCCCACGUCUGGCAACGGUAAAGACGAAAUCGACGUGCAGGUGAUGUCACACAAAAGACGCACACUCAUGUUUUGGGGUCAAGGGCUAGGUACAGCCAAUCGAAUCUGCAAGAGGGUUAUUUAAACUCACUUAUUAAUUAGCUCAUUGCCCUGUCGUGGUUUCCCUUAGAUGGUUAUCCAAGAGUGUGUUCCAGAUUGUGUUUUUCAGUUUUUUUACUUUGGCUUCAUUUUGACUUCCCUGAUUUCUGGUACCCUUGACUUUUCCUUAUCGCUAAGGUCUUGUUCUGUGUCCCUGACCUCGGCUAGUUUUCUGACUAUUCUCAGGUACGUUAAGUCCGGCUAUUCUAAUGCCCGGUAAGACGUUACCCCUAGUUCUAGGGUGUGAUACUAUUCUGCAUGUUGGAUCAAUAUAAUCCUGACACCACUGUCUGUCUCUUUUGCCUCUUCCCCAGCCCCUCUGUGGCUCUUUGCCCUACCCCAGCCCCUCUGUGUGUCUCUUUUUCUCCAUAGUCCCAUUUGUGUGUCUCUUCCCCAGCACCUUUUCGCUUUCUCCUCCAGCCCCUCUAUGUCGCUUUGUGUCCCUCUCAGGCCCUCCAUGCAUCUUAUCUUCCCUAUGUGUUUCAUUCCUCCAGUUGCCCAGGUGUCUCAAUUCCUCCCCCAGCCUUUUCUGACCUAAUGUUCCCCUUUUCUAGGAGCUCUAUAUUGUUGAUGUUUCUGAGUGUAUAACUGAGCUCCACAGCAAUAAUACUCACAGUAAUGUGUCUUUAAAC